AUUGAACGCUGGCGGCAUGCCUUACACAUGCAAGUCGAACGGUAACAGGUCUUCGGAUGCUGACGAGUGGCGAACGGGUGAGUAAUACAUCGGAACGUGCCCGAUCGUGGGGGAUAACGAAGCGAAAGCUUUGCUAAUACUGCAUAAGAUCCAAGGAUGAAAGCAGGGGACCGCAAGGCAUUGCGCGAACGGAGCGGCCGAUGGCAGAUUAGGUAGUUGGUGGGAUAAAAGCUUACCAAGCCGACGAUCUGUAGCUGGUCUGAGAGGACGACCAGCCACACUGGGACUGAGACACGGCCCAGACUCCUACGGGAGGCAGCAGUGGGGAAUUUUGGACAAUGGGCGAAAGCCUGAUCCAGCCAUGCCGCGUGCAGGAUGAAGGCCUUCGGGUUGUAAACUGCUUUUGUACGGAACGAAAAGACUCUGGUUAAUACCUGGGGUCCAUGACGGUACCGUAAGAAUAAGCACCGGCUAACUACGUGCCAGCCGCCGCCGUAA
rnacentral:rRNA from 1 species